UGCGGCUGAAUCUUGUUCACUGGAUUGUAAGGAGGCCGAGAUCAGCAGACCUCAGGUGUUUGUUUGGCUGAUGAGCACUGAUUAGUUCAGAAAGAAGCCAGUAUGCUAGCUGAGGCCAUUCACUUCCAGUCUUUGUGCUAAGCUAAGCUAGCGGGGGCUGCGUCAGACAGAGUUACAGCACGCAUGGAGAUGAGAAAGGCAUCUUCUUCUUUCCCGCGUGGUCACGUGGAAAAGUGACGUCAAUGCAUUCCCUCUAUAGAGGUUGCGGGGAGACCACAGCCACAUCCGAGGAGUUCUCAUUAUGAUCCGCUUUAGAUCAGCUUUUUGAACAUUAAUCUUCUGUUGGUUUUAUUGACUUGAAUUGCUUACACUUGUAUCACGUACACGCACAUGCUGACAAGCUGACUAUUCUGACUACUUUACAUUUCAUGUUUAUGCUCUUUAGUUUAAUAAAUUGUCUUGCAAAUUUA